ensembl:lncRNA
AUCUAGUCUUGUUCCAGAGUCUGAAUUUUAUUAAACACAUUGAGAAACCACUGAAAGAUUUUGGGCAGGAAAGUGACAUGAUUUCCUUUACGUUUUAAGUAGAACAUCAUGUGGGCUUUGUGAUAACUGAAUGGAGAUCACGGAAGCAGAGGACCAAACCGAAGAUCAUUGCAGUGGUCCAGAAUACCCACAGAGGUUUUGUACUUUGAAAGGAGAGAGAUCUACCUGGAAUCUGAUGGUGUGGAAUGUCCCUUGGCUCUUGUCUCAGAUGCUGGCAGCCUCCUCAUCUCAGCCCCAGAUGUGGACAUCAGGCUCAAUUUGGACAGAAGAGACAUUUGCUUGCUAUUUGGAAGUUUGAAAGGGAAGGUCGCUGAAAAAAGUGUGAAAGUGAAAGUCACUCAGUCGUGUGCAACUCCUUGUGACCCCAUGGACUGUAACCUGUCAGGCUCCUCUGUCCAUGGAAUUCUCCAUGCAAAAACACUGGAGUGGGUUG